rnacentral:rRNA from 1 species
GUGCGUAGGCGGCUUAUUAAGUCGGAUGUGAAAUCCCCGAGCUUAACUUGGGAAUUGCAUUCGAUACUGGUGAGCUAGAGUAUGGGAGAGGAUGGUAGAAUUCCAGGUGUAGCGGUGAAAUGCGUAGAGAUCUGGAGGAAUACCGAUGGCGAAGGCAGCCAUCUGGCCUAAUACUGACGCUGAGGUACGAAAGCAUGGGGAGCAAACAG